UACGGAGGGUGCGAGCGUUGUUCGGAAUCACUGGGCGUAAAGGGCGCGUAGGCGGCCCGGUAAGUCAAAGGUGAAAUCCCUCGGCUCAACUGAGGAACUGCCUUUGAAACUGUCGGGCUUGAGGCCGGGAGGGGGUAGCGGAAUUCCCAGUAUAGCGGUGAAAUGCGUAGAUACUGGGAGGAACACCAGUGGCGAAGGCGGCUACCUGGACCGGUUCUGACGCUGAUGCGCGAAAGCGUGGGUAGCAAACAGG
rnacentral:rRNA from 1 species